rnacentral:rRNA from 1 species
CAGCAGUGGGAAUAUUGCACAAUGGGCGCAAGCCUGAUGCAGCCAUGCCGCGUGUAUGAAGAAGGCCUUCGGGUUGUAAAGUACUUUCAGCAGUGAGGAAGGUGGGUAUGUUAAUAGCAUAUUCAUUUGACGUUAGCUGCAGAAGAAGCACCGGCUAACUCCGUGCCAGCAGCCGCGGUAAUACGGAGGGUGCGAGCGUUAAUCGGAAUUACUGGGCGUAAAGCGCAUGCAGGUGGUUUGUUAAGUCAGAUGUGAAAGCCCGGGGCUCAACCUCGGAAUUGCAUUUGAAACUGGCAAACUAGAGUACUGUAGAGGGGGUAGAAUUUCAGGUGUAGCGGUGAAAUGCGUAGAGAUCUGAAGGAAUACCGGUGGCGAAGGCGGCCCCCUGGACAGAUACUGACACUCAGAUGCGAAAGCGUGGGGAGCAAACAGGAUUAGAUACCCUGGUAG